rnacentral:rRNA from 1 species
CCUACGGAGAGCAGCAGUGAGGAAUAUUGGUCAAUGGCCGCGAGCCUGAACCAGCCAAGUAGCGUGAAGGAUGACUGCCCUACGGGUUGUAAACUUCUUUUAUAAAGGAAUAAAGUUAGGCACGUGUGCCUUUUUGUAUGUACUUUAUGAAUAAGGAUCGGCUAACUCCGUGCCAGCAGCCGCGGUAAUACGGAGGAUCCGAGCGUUAUCCGGAUUUCUUGGGUUUAAAGGGAGCGUAGAUGGGUUGUUAAGGGCGUUGUGAAAGUUUGCGGCUCAACCGUAAGAUUGCCAUUGAUACUGGAGAUCUUGAGUACAGUUGAGGUAGGCGGAAUGCGUGGUGUAGCGGUGAAAUGCUUAGAUAUCACGAAGAACUCCGAUUGCGAAGGCAGCUUACUAAACUGCCACUGACAUUGAUGCUCGAAAGUGUGGGUAUCAAACAGGAUUAGAUACCCUAGUAGUC